rnacentral:tRNA from 1 species
GGCUAAGUAACAUAAGGGUAAUGUAUUGGAUUGCAAAUCCUAGAAAGAUGGUUCGAAUCCCGUCCUUAGCCU